rnacentral:rRNA from 1 species
GUGGGGAAUAUUGGGCAAUGGAUGCAAGUCUGACCCAGCCAUCCCGCGUGCCGGAAGAAGGCCCUCAGGGUUGUAAACGGCUUUUGACGGUGAAGAAUCGACAGGAUGCGUCCUGUUUUGACGGUAGCCGUUGAAUAAGCACCGGCUAACUCCGUGCCAGCAGCCGCGGUAAUACGGAGGGUGCGAGCGUUGUCCGGAUUUAUUGGGUUUAAAGGGUGCGUAGGCUGGAAGGUCAGUCGGCGGUGAAAAGCUGUCGCUUAACGAUAGUCUUGCCGCAGAUACUUCCUUUCUUGGAUGAGGAGGAGGCCACUGGAACGGAUGGUGUAGCGGUGAAAUGCAUAGAUAUCAUCCAGAACACCGAUUGCGAAGGCAGGUGGCUGUACCUUAAUCGACGCUGAUGCACGAAAGCAUGGGGAGCAAACAGGAUUAGAAACCCUUGUAGUCC